GCCUAUCCCUGGUGUAGUGGUUUGAAUGUUAGACUAUGACUCUGGAGACCAGGGUUCGAAUCCCUGUUUGGCC